rnacentral:tRNA from 1 species
GGUUCGGUGGUGUAGUGGUUAUCACGUCUGUCUCACACUUGUGAGGUGUGCACAGGAGGUCCCCGGUUCGAGACCGGGUCGAACCA